rnacentral:lncRNA from 1 species
GGGGGCCAUAAUUAUUGAAGAUAACUCCUCCAAUGGUUUGAAUGCUAGAAAGUUUACACUUUAUUGAAGGUGCAUGUGGUCGUUGUCUUGAUUCAUAUUGAUAUUUGCUCUUUUGGGAGAUAGAUGAACAUUGUCAUUUUUAGAGUAUAUUCUUGCAAUACUCCUCUUACAGUUUUUAAAAUGCUAUGAAGUUUUACAUUGUUGGCCAUUUGUACAUACUGGUAUACUAAAGAUGAGCAUUUGGUCAGGGUUUUAAUUUUUUUUUAAUAUUCGCUCUUUUGGGAGAUGGUGGGAACUGUCAUUUUUUGAGGUACAAGUAUUUACUUCCAUAAGAAGUGCAAAGCAUUUACAAAUAACUCCUCCUAUAGUGAACCAGACCUAUGUACUGCUCAACUUUUUGUAUUUUAAAAUCAAUCUUUGAAUCUGCAGGGGUAUCAUUCGUGUCUCCUAGACACAAUUAUAUCUCAAAGAAAGUCCUACAAUAACUUAAUUAUAGAAGUUACUUUGGAGUGCAGGGUCAUCACUUUGACUAGUUUAUUAGGUGUUUUUUUAUGUUUUUAUUUGCUUGGUAUCUUUCUGAUGGGUUAAACCCUUUUCAACUUAUUUUAUGUUUGUUCUUGUGCAGUACUUUUAUAACACUUUCCCAGGUUAGGGUAAGGUGAAUCACCAGCCAACAUGUUCAACGCUGCCACAUUGUGUAUGUAACUGUCCCAAGUAAGAAGUCUGAUAUUCUGUCAUUAUUGAUUGUUGCUGUUUAUCAUAUUCGUUUUUUUGUUAUUUACAUAAAACAGGCGAUUAAUUUUCUUAUUUUACAUUUGUCGCAACAUGGUCUUUAUAGUUUUCUAUGCAGUAUGAGUUUUACUCAUUGUUGAAUAGCAGUACAAUGACAUACAGUUGUUAAUUUCUAUGUCAUUUAGUCUUCUGGUGGAGAAUAG